GGAGAGACUGACACUCAUCGUCACUUUGUCUAAAAAGCAGCGAAGCACAGGGAACCGCUUGAAAGAGCAGCGAAUACCAGCGGACUCUCGAAGCGGCUUUCCUUCAUCAUAUUGGAAAAACAAGCAAUUAUUAGCCACGUUAGAUGUAUCGCGUAUUCUUUAUUAUGCUACACUUCGGAAAAGACAAUCAGCUGGUUCCAUAGUGUAGCGGUUAUCACGUCUGCUUUACACGCAGAAGGUCCUGGGUUCGAGCCCCAGUGGAACCAGGAAUACUUUUCUGCUUCGAAACUGAGUGGAAGCCUCUGCAGUAGGCCCCAACAGGCCCAACAGAAAUAUGAUUCUGCAGUGUCUGGAUGAAUAAGUGAUGGGCAAGAGGAAGCUACACACCACUAGUGGAUGGUUUUGUGCCGUGGUCUAACAAGAAUCAUGUUUCUAAAUGUAAAUAACAGCAGAAAGCUGG
ensembl:lncRNA